GACCCUAAUGUCUACUGUCUGCUUCCCUUCCAACCCCCACCAGGCAUACCAUCGCCAGCAGUUAAAGCUGCAAGAGGCUGCAUUGCCAUUUCGAGUCUGAUGGUGUCAGGGACUCCAUCUUGCUGGUCAGCAACUUGAACACUGGAAGUCACAGUCAACCCCUUUAUGCUCUUCAGUAUCUAUGGUUAUGUGAAGCAGGUGGAAGAUUUUGUUCAGGAGAAGGUAGCUAGGCCCAGCUAGUCAUGUGGCACCCAAACAAGCUGCAUGGGAAGCCAACAUACAUUACAAUGUCAAAGCACCGAAGUAUGCUGCUGCCUUGUGAGGGCCAGGAAGACCAGGGCUUCACCAAAGACUCUGACAACUGACACUUCACUACUUCAAGAAGCUGGGCCCCGAGUUCUUUAAGAACCUCUUCCUGCUCUUAGUCACCCUGCACCUCACCAACAUCCCUUGCUCAGUGUCAGAGGAGUUCCUCAAGAACUUCUCAAGCAACAAGGACAUGACCAAGGGCUUAAAAUUCUUCCAGGGACUGCAGCCCUGAAUCCUUGCUCUCUGUCCCAUCCAUCAUCCCUACUGGAAGGACCAUGAGAUGGUUCUGAUCCUGAUGAAUUUAUUGGAGGAGGAUGUGUAGGCAUCAAUUAAAUUGCAAAUCUACAACCCAAGCAUCUCUGAACAGAAAGAGCCAUGCUGUUGGGAUUGCUAUUCCAGAAUCCUGGACAUAUUAUAGAACUGUACUAAUGGAAAUAUGGCAGUGGCACCAAACAGACAUGUAUGCCAAUGGAACAAAACAGAAGACCCAAACAUGAGUACUUGUAACUGCAGCCACCUGCUAUUUGAUAAAGAGGCAAAAAACUACCACCACCACCAAUAACAACAAAAACAAAACAAAACAAAACCCCUGCACCCUGGAGAAAAGACAGCAUCUUCAAGAAGUGGUGGUUAAAGCCGAAAACUGUAUGGCCAUGGAUUAGAUUCAUACCUGUCACCCUGCACAAAAAUUAGAUACAAGUGUACCAAUGACUUCAAUUUUAAACCUGCAAUAUGAAAGCUGGUAGAAGUGAACAUUCUCUACAAGAGAUAGAUGAAGGAAAGGACAUUAUCAACAGGAUCACAUUUGUUCAGGAAUUGAGGUCACCAAUUGAUAACGGGGACCUCAUAAAACUGAAAAACUUCUGUGCAGCUAAGGAAAUAAUCAAGUGAAGAGGAAGCCCAGAGAAUGAGAGAGAGUUUUAACAGCUACAUAUCUUCAGAGGACUAAUAUCUACAAUAUAUGAGGAACUCAAAGAACAAAGAGUCAAGGAAACAAACAACCCAAUUAAAAAGUGGGCUGGGGAUGUAGAUCAUUUCAACAGAAAAUAGAAAGGGCUAAGAAAUACCUCAGAAAAAGCAUUCAACUUCCUUAGCAAUUAGGGUAAUGUAAACUGAACCAACGCUGACAAUUCUUAACAAGAUGACUGACAAUUGCUGCUGUAGAUAGUGGGAUUGCAAAGUGGUGCAGCCACUCUGGAAAUAAAUGUAGCUACCACCAGGAAGCCUCUCUCUACUGCAAAUGGAGACCAUCACAGGAAACCACAACUGGACACACUGCAGAGAUUGGUGGAUUGGGGGAGCUCAGGCCCAGCAGACACAUCUAAAGCUCAGCUCUUGCAUCUAUUGCUCAGGAAACAUUGAGGAAGAGGGAGUGGAAAGAUUGUAAAAACGAGAAUACCUGGAAGCCUGCAGUGAAACAGUUUCUUCUAGAAAUGACUGUAUAAACAAAACCAGAACAAUGCCACUAUCAAUGGAGAUUUUAACGUAGGAGAGAAAAUUUUUCACCAGAUUCUACUACCAGACAGAGAACUAUAGGCAACUAAUGAGUUCUAGGAGAAUUAGCCUCUCCCAAAGAUAAGUCCAUAUAGCUAUUGGUUGUUUGAUGCAGAAUGGUCAGACUAGAAACCAUAUAUACUCAAACAACAAAAUGGACUCAGUAUCUUGGAUUAUACAUACAUAUAUACACAUAGAUAUGCAUGUAACAGUAAUAACAAAAAAUGCCCAUCAACUGGAGAGUAAGGGCUGGGUGGACAGAGGCUGGAGGGAAGGCAGGGAGAGAAGCAGGGUACAAUUCUGCUUUAAUUAAAAACUUAUCAACUAAAAUAACAUUACAGACUAGAUGUAUAUCUUAAAAAAGAAUCAGUUUACCUGUUCUUUUAAAAAGUAAAACUAAGUCAGGCAUGUUAGCAUGCAUCGUUAGUCCCGGCACUCGAGAGGCAAAGGCAGGUGGAUCUCUGAGUUCAAGACCAGCCUGAACUACAGGACAGCCAAGGGCUACACAGAGAAAUCCU